GACGAACGCUGGCGGCGUGCUUAACACAUGCAAGUCGAACGAAGUGGCGAACGGGUGAGUAACGCGUAAUCAACCUGCCCUUCAGCGGGGGACAACAGUUGGAAACGACUGCUACUACCGCAUACUGAAGGAGGGGCUUGCGUCUGAUUAGAUAGUGGGAGGGGGAACGGCCAACCAAGGCGAUGAUCGGUAGCCGGUCUGAGAGGAUGAACGGCUACAUUGGGACUGGGACACGGCCCAGACUCCUACGGGAGGCAGCAGGGGGGAAUCUUCCGGAAUGGACGAAAGUCUGACGGAGCAACGCCGCGUGAGUGAUGACGGCCUUCGGGUUGUAAAGCUCUGUUAAUCGGGACGCGGUACCGGAAUAGAAAGCCACGGCUAACUACGUGCCAGCCGCCGCGGUAAUUC
rnacentral:rRNA from 1 species